rfam:Aspergillus niger supercontig An01
GACGAUAUGGCCGAGCGGUCUAAGGCGAUAGACUAGAAAUCUAUUCUCUUCGGAGGCGUCGGUUCAAAUCCGACUGUCGUCG